rnacentral:lncRNA from 1 species
UGUUGGCAUGUGGGAAGAUUCGAUGUGGUUGUGCCAGUGGUGUCCCUGUCAGUGGCUGCAGGUUUGGCAGGUUGGCACAGGACAGCUGAGUGACCCCACUCCUGUGUGGCACAGACGGGUGAGGUCCAUGCAAAUAAUGGCAGCAAGACCUCCUAGAUGAAGUAUUUUUCUUCUCACUCACAAGCUUGGUGUGUUGCAUAUGAAAAUCUACGAGGACCCAAAACCCCAGACUUUAUUUUUGGGCAGCUCCCCAUAGUUGUUGAUGCAGAAAUAAGGGAUUUUUCCAGGUAGGAAGGUUUUUGUUUGGUUGUGUGGAGUUUUUUUUUAUUGUUUGGGGUUUGUUGGUUGGUUGUUUGGUUGGUUUGGGGUUUUUGGGGUUUUUUUUGCCCGCCAGAAAAAUAUUAGAAUCUGAAAAAUUAACCUGUUAUUUGCUACGCUCCUAUUAGCUUUCCAUGCCUAAUUUUGUGUUCAGUGAAUGAAGUAAUUUAGCAGUUUUCCCUUUUUAAAAUGCUAUCAUAGAGGAUAUUUACAGUGCUUCAUUCUCCUCAUGUGAAUGCCCUCAGAUGCUACCUGUAGUUCUGCUGACAGUAGAUAAUAUUACUAUUAUGUAGAU